rnacentral:lncRNA from 1 species
UAUAAUAUUGUUUAACGAUAUAAAUAUAAUUUUGGGUGAGAAAUAAUUUUUAAAGUAUACGAGGAUAAAUGAUCCAUGUUAGCUGUUCAAAGGUUAAGUUAAAGAUCUACGGAAAACAACUAUGUAGAAAAAAAAGAAUCGUUAAAUAGAAUAAAUAAAUAUAGAACAAAAAAAUUUUAGGAUUAAUGUGAUUUAUGCAAUCAAAUCUGAUGAUUCAUCACGUUUCUAUUAAAUGUCUUUAAAAUUUUUAAGCGAAGCAUGAUAAUGUCCGUUAAACUCGUUCAACGAGCUUCGUUUUCUCGAAGUUACAUGAAACUGCUUUUAGACAUAACGAGGCGCACCGGUGCACUCGUGACCCUGAUUGACGAAACCGUUCCCAGAAAGCCAGCAAGCCAACGAUGCCGUCGCUUUUAUCUAUUUUUAUCUAUCACGGUACUUCUUGGAAUUUUGCAUUCGAUACUUUACAGAAGGAAAACAUACUUAGAAUCGCGAUUGCAAUCUAUCUCUUGUCAGAAUUUGCUUGUAGAGAAAGAAUCAGGAAAGAUACCAUUUGUAGAAGAUUUCGAAGCAAUUACUAUUAUCGACGGUAUAUAUCAUCGAAUCAAUACGAAUGGUUUCCACGAUAAAUUAACCGGCUGGUUAUUAAUCCUUAAUAACUUCAAUCAAAUAAAAUUCUCAAGAACAAUAAAUUAUUUCAAAUAUGUUAAUAGUUUAUGAUUAUUAUUUUCAGAAAAUUCUUUUUGUUAUAUUUAUUAUAUACAUUAAUCGACGAUUAUAAAAUCAAUGUAUUUUUUAAUGUCGUGUUUGUGACUUUCUAUCUCUAAUUUAAAUGCUUUUCAAAAUGAAAACCAAUAUAGAAAUACUAUCAGAUCAUAGCUAUCAAAAACGAUAUAUAAGUUAAAAAUCAAUUCACGUUCUCAUGAAAGUGUUUAACGAUCCCCAAAGGAAGAUAAAGUGUGAGUAAAAUCGAAUGUAACUUCGACUCAGUCGGUAAAACACGAAAAUUCUAAUAGAACGAACAAUAGUAACGGUAUAUUUGUAGCGCGAACAACAGUGCUGCCGAUAUGUGGGAAAAAAUCGGAAAAAAACGAUUCGACACGAUCCGCGAGUCGACGUUCGUGCACGGAACUCGCGACGAAGCCGCUCGCAGCGUGUUUCAAGGCUGAACCGCCUCUUCUCUACACUCUCUUCGACCCCUCCAAAGACGAAUCAUCUCCUUUCCCCUAACUUCACGUUCGAUUAUCGUUCUCUUUCUCUCUCUUUCAAUCUAUCGGUAGGUUUGCGUAUCGUUUGUCUCACUCCGUUCGUUUCCUCCGUUCGUUCUUUCUCGUUCAUAUUCGUCUGUAUUCGUCGGUCGCGCCACGGCAGUGCUAUCCUAUCGCAUGACUCUGCAGCGUUACGCAACUAACAGAAGGCUAGGUCAGCAGAUUUGCGACGAUUAAACUUAUGCAGUGUGACGACCGAGCCGUUCGACCUACUUCGUAAAAUAACGCGACGGUAGGCGUACUUACCGAAAUGUAGGACAACGGUAUUCACGCGCAGGAAGCAGCGCAAUUAUGGAUACACGAGAGAACGCGAGCGACCGCGCACGCGUGAUUCUAACCUCCGCAAUUGUGCCUCCUGACACGACUCUACCGUUGUGGAAAAAUACGGCCGCAUCGUCGUCGCAUGUUCCAAGCCAACUAUCCGCAUGCUUGAAAAUCUUCCGUUUCUUUCGAAUUUUCAUUAUCGAGAAAAUGGAUUCGCAUGGAUGCUUUUACUUGUGAUAUCUAAUAUUUAUAUCAAUAUUUAUUGAAUCGCGCUUGUUCUAAUCGUUUUUUUCUCUUUUUAUUCGAAUUUCAGAUGAACGUUUACUUAUUAUAUUAAUGUUAUAAGAGUAAUAAUAAUAAUAUCUCAAAAGUAUGAAAAUUUUCACGUUAUAAAAGAUAGAUUGUACAAAGAGGAGAGAAAAUAUUGGCAGCUAGCGAGAGGCGAGAAACGCGACCCUAAUAUUCAGCUCUGCGGAGAUGAACGCUAAAGUUGAUCUAGUAAAUUUGCGCGUCCGUUUCAUAGAUGCGUUGGCCCAGUUUGCAGUGGCUAUGAAAGCAAGGAGCACCACGAUGAGAGUUAGAGAGAGGGCGUGAUAUCUGUGUCAUCGCACAAGCGCCGUGCUUCAGCCGAGUACGAUUCACAGUGGUGUUCUUGGCCCGUUUGAGGGCCGUGUAUCCAACAAACGUUCCAUGUACAUUUUAUUUAUAAUAUUCGAACAUUCUGUUUUUCCCAAUAUUUUCUAUCUUAUCUUUACAAAUCGAGAUGAAUCUAACGAAGAAAUGAAAUAAGAAAGUUCGCGACCUUGACAAUAAAUAAUCGCGCUUUGUUU